rnacentral:lncRNA from 1 species
AUCUGAAGUGUGAAUAGGAUUGGUGAAAGAGUGAAAGAGUGUUGUGUGCUUUUGCUGAGUUUAGGAUGGUGUCAAUUGUGCCUCAGGAGAAGAGUUUAGACAUUCUGUCCUGAUGAAUGUAAUCAAGUCUUUAUUUCAUGGUUUCUCUUAACGCAAAUACGUACAGGUUCAUAUUCGUCGAUGAGGGUGAGAGGAAAACUAUCGCCAACAGAAAGAAUCCAGAUAGGAAGAGAGAAAAAGAAAGACCAGAGAUGGAUUUUGUGUCCUUUUUAAAACAGCCUCAAUCACCUGAUUCCUCCCUGCCACUUCUCUGCAAAUGAUAGAGUUCACACAUCUAUAAUUCUCUCAUAGGUUCAUGUGGGCUGCUCCUCAUAACCCUGCUCAAACACUACUGAGGCAUCAGGAUCUUCAAGAUUCAUUUUCUCUUGCCACCACCAUAUAAGAAGUGCCUUUCACCUCCUGCCAUGAUUCUGAGGCUUCCCCAGCCAUGUAAAACUAUGAGGAAACUGAAGCGAAAGAAUGUUGACUAAUUUUGUCAAGGUCACACAACUGCUCUCUUUGGUGACUUCCUGAAGCUUGAAGUAUCUUCCUUGGGAGACGUAUUAUAGAAUUUGAAAUCCCACUGGCCAGAUCUCAGCAUGUAGUUUCAUCCCAACUCUACAGAAGUCUGGAAAAUACAGAGAGAACAUGCUCUUUCCCUAGGAAGAAGAGAUGAGAGCUCCAUCUCUCUGCUGGUGGAAGGAGAGGUUGUCUUUCCCUUCCCAUAGGGCAAGAAGAGCUGCCUCCACAUCCUCCUUCUGCUGUAGCUGAAGAGCCUGUUUAAAGGAACAUCCUGAUGGGGCUCAGCCUUUUGACCCCCAGAAAACAUGGCUUUGUCUGCCAUCCUGCAGCUCAUCAUGGGAGCCUGCAAAGUGGUUGGGGGCAGCACACACCAGCAUGCUGUGAAGAGAGGAAAGAGCUGCCGGGAUAACAACCCCGCAGCCACCAUAAUGACUCAGAUUAGAACACAAGGGAACACCAGCCAUUUUUUAGUCUGUCAGUUUUUCUAUUAUCCUCAAGACUGAGCAUGAAACAUUCAUUAUAACACGUCCUUAUUGAUUCAACUGAUGGAAAUAUAUUGGUAUUAAUAACACGAAACUCUAAGGCACUGAGGAUAAUAAAAUGAUUGCGAACAUAA